AGUGAACGCUGGCGGUAUGCCUAACACAUGCAAGUCGAACGGCAGCACAGUAAGCUCUUGCUCUUACCGGUGGCGGGUGGCGGGCGGGUGACACAUGCAUAAGCAUCUUAUUUUUCGUGGGGAAUUACGUAGGACCACUUAUACUACUACCGAACACGUCCUACGGGUGGGAGCAAGAGAGAUUCGGGCCUUUCGCGUUUGUAUUAGACGAUGUCGGAUUAGCUAGUUGGCGUGGUAAAGGAACACCAAGGCGACGAUGCGUAGCUGGUCUGAGAGGAUGAUCAGCCACACUGGAACUGAGACACGGUCCAGACUCCUACGGGAGGCAGCAGUGGGGAAUAUUGGACAAAGGGCGAAAGCCUGAUGCAGCAAUGCCGCGUGAGUGAAGAAGGCCUUCGGGUUGUAAAGCCCUUUUGUUCGGAAAGAAAAGCAGCAUGUGAAUACACGGAUGUUCUGACGGUACCUAAAGAAUAAGCACCGGCUAACUACGUG
rnacentral:rRNA from 1 species